UAGGGAAUCUUCGGCAAUGGGGGCAACCCUGACCGAGCAACGCCGCGUGAGUGAAGAAGGUUUUCGGAUCGUAAAGCUCUGUUGUAAGUCAAGAACGGGUGUGAGAGUGGAAAGUUCACACUGUGACGGUAGCUUACCAGAAAGGGACGGCUAACUACGUGCCAGCAGCCGCGGUAAUACGUAGGUCCCGAGCGUUGUCCGGAUUUAUUGGGCGUAAAGCGAGCGCAGGCGGUUUGAUAAGUCUGAAGUUAAAGGCUGUGGCUCAACCAUAGUUCGCUUUGGAAACUGUCAAACUUGAGUGCAGAAGGGGAGAGUGGAAUUCCAUGUGUAGCGGUGAAAUGCGUAGAUAUAUGGAGGAACACCGGUGGCGAAAGCGGCUCUCUGGUCUGUAACUGACGCUGAGGCUCGAAAGCGUGGGGAGCGAACAGGAUUAGAUACCCUGGUAGUCCACGCCGUAAACGAUGAGUGCUAGGUGUUGGAUC
rnacentral:rRNA from 1 species